AGUGAACGCUGGCGGCAUGCCUAACACAUGCAAGUCGAACGGCAGCACAGUGAGCGUUCUCCCUUACGGUUGGCGACGGACGGAUGAGUAACGCAUACGUCGGCUGCUACUUUUUCUUGGGUGAUAACGGGGGGCAACUUCUGCUACCACAUAAUACGACGUACGGCAUAAUCCCGGCGUGCUUCGAACCUUGGGUGAUUGUAUGAGCCCGUGCCGGAUUAGCGUGUUGGCGGGGUAAAGGCCCAACAAGGCGACGAUCCGUAGCGGCUCUGAGAGGAGGAUCAGCCACACUGGAACGGAGACACGGUCCAGACUCCUACGGGAGGCAGCAGUGGGGAAUAUUGGACAAUGGGCGCAAGCCUGAUCCAGCCAUACCGCGUGGGUGAAGAAGGCCUUCGGGUUGUAAAGCCCUUUUGUUGGGAAAGAACAGCAGCAGGUUAAUACCCCGCUGUUCUGACGGUACCUAAAGAAUAAGCACCGGCUAACUUCGUG
rnacentral:rRNA from 1 species